rnacentral:rRNA from 1 species
UACGUAGGGUGCAAGCGUUGUCCGGAAUUAUUGGGCGUAAAGAGCUCGUAGGUGGCCUGUCGCGUCGGCUGUGAAAACUCGGGGCUCAACUCCGAGCUUGCAGUCGAUACGGGCAGGCUAGAGUUCGGCAGGGGAGACUGGAAUUCCUGGUGUAGCGGUGAAAUGCGCAGAUAUCAGGAGGAACACCGGUGGCGAAGGCGGCAUCCUGGACCGACACUGACACUGAGGAGCGAAAGCCAGGGGAGCAAACGGG